CCUACGGGAGGCAGCAGUGGGGGAUAUUGCACAAUGGGGGAAACCCUGAUGCAGCGACGCCGCGUGUGGGAAGACGGUCCUCUGGAUUGUAAACCACUGUCCCCAGGGACGAAGAUGACGGUACCUGGGGAGGAAGCUCCGGCUAACUACGUGCCAGCAGCCGCGGUAAUACGUAGGGAGCGAGCGUUGUCCGGAAUUACUGGGUGUAAAGGGAGCGUAGGCGGGGAUGCAAGUUGGGUGUCAAAACUACCGGCUCAACUGGUAGUCGCACUCAAAACUGCAGCUCUUGAGUGAAGUAGAGGGAGGCGGAAAUUCUAGUGGAGCGGGGAAAUGCGUAGAUAUUAGGAGGAACAACAGGGGCGAAGGGGGCCUGCUGGGCUUUUACUGACGCUGAGGCUCGAAAGUGUGGGGAGCAAACAGGAUUAGAUACCCCGGUAGUC
rnacentral:rRNA from 1 species